CCUACGGGUGGCAGCAGUGAGGAAUAUUGGUCAAUGGACGAGAGCCUGAACCAGCCAAGUAGCGUGAAGGAUGACUGCCCUAUGGGUUGUAAACUUCUUUUAUAUGGGAAUAAAAUGUUGCACGUGUGCGAUUUUGCAUGUACCAUAUGAAUAAGGAUCGGCUAACUCCGUGCCAGCAGCCGCGGUAAUACGGAGGAUCCGAGCGUUAUCCGGAUUUAUUGGGUUUAAAGGGAGCGUAGGUGGAUUGUUAAGUCAGUUGUGAAAGUUUGCGGCUCAACCGUAAAAUUGCAGUUGAAACUGGCAGUCUUGAGUACAGUAGAGGUGGGCGGAAUUCGUGGUGUAGCGGUGAAAUGCUUAGAUAUCACGAAGAACUCCGAUUGCGAAGGCAGCUCACUGGACUGCAACUGACACUGAGGCUCGAAAGUGUGGGUAUCAAACAGGAUUAGAUACCCGUGUAGUC
rnacentral:rRNA from 1 species